UACGAAGGGUGCAAGCGUUAAUCGGAAUUACUGGGCGUAAAGCGCGCGUAGGUGGUUCAGUAAGUUGGAUGUGAAAUCCCCGGGCUCAACCUGGGAACUGCGUCCAAAACUGCUGAGCUAGAGUACGGUAGAGGGUAGUGGAAUUUCCUGUGUAGCGGUGAAAUGCGUAGAUAUAGGAAGGAACACCAGUGGCGAAGGCGACUACCUGGACUGGUACUGACACUGAGGUGCGAAAGCGUGGGGAGCAAACAGG
rnacentral:rRNA from 1 species